ACUGAAAAUCCUCGUGUCACCAG
rnacentral:tRNA from 1 species